UACGUAGGGGGCGAGCGUUGUCCGGAUUUAUUGGGCGUAAAGAGCUCGUAGGCGGUUUGUCGCGUCUGUCGUGAAAGCUUGGGGCUUAACCCCAAGUCUGCGGUGGAUACGGGCAGACUAGAGGCAGGUAGGGGAGAACGGAAUUCCCGGUGUAGCGGUGAAAUGCGCAGAUAUCGGGAGGAACACCGGUGGCGAAGGCGGUUCUCUGGGCCUGUACUGACGCUGAGGAGCGAAAGCGUGGGGAGCGAACAGG
rnacentral:rRNA from 1 species